AAUUAAAUCAGCCAAUCAAAAGACUCUUUUUUGACACGUCAUAUAUUCUUUGGUCCACAAAAACGGGUCUUUCAUUUGGGCUAUGGCUGAAACGCGUGAAAUUGUUCUUCCUCUGACGAUUCCUCUUCAUCAUCCCCGAUCAAACUUUCCACAAUUCACCGUUACCGUAAUCCACUCUUGCUCUUUAAUUCUGAUUUAAUGGUUUCUUCCACCUUCCCCUCUAUCUCCUUCUAUAUAAAGCCAACCCUAAUUGAAACUAUGCAGAAGCAACUACAUCUACAGGCAUGGAAUCCACUGGCAUGUCUCCCCUCUCCACCGGCAGGUAACUAUUUGUCUUCUUCUUCUUUGAGAAAGUGUUUCACUUUCAUGGCUAUUAUACUGUAUUUAGUGGAGUUUAGGUUCUGCUAUGAUCAUUUGUUUGCGAUUAUGGUUAUAAAAUUUUGAUUUUGUACAUCAAGUCCCAGCUCGGUCUCUGUGACCCCUUUCUCUCACGCUGCUGCUCGAAGUCCUUUACCAGAAUGCAAGGACUGCUUCUUGUGGCUUGUGCAGUCACAGUAGUGGCGUGGCUUGUCUCUGGUCAUUGGGUGUUGAACAAUUUGCUUGGGAUAUCUAUUUGUAUUGCUUUCGUCAGCCAUGUUCGUCUUCCCAAUAUCAAGAUAUGUACUAUGCUCCUCCUGUGUCUGUUUGUGUAUGACAUAUUCUGGGUGUUCUUCUCUGAGAGGUUCUUUGGUGCUAACGUUAUGGUGACCGUGGCGACUCAGCAAGCGUUGAACCCGGUUCAUACAGUAGCCAAUAGUUUGAAUCUUCCUGGACUGGAAUUGAUUACAAAGAAACUGGAGUUGCCUGUUAAAAUAAUGUUUCCAAGGAACCUAUUGGGCGGUGUGGAGCCUGGUGUGAGUGCCUCAGAGUUCAUGAUGCUUGGUCUUGGUGACAUGGUUGCUCUGUAUGUUGGUGGUCUUUAUAUUUGUGGAAAGAUUGGAUGGGAAUCUGUAAUGAAAAUGGGACAAGACACACGAGAACUGUCAAGGAUGAAGAGGACAGUCUAAAGCGUUGUUUUUUUGAAAAUGUGUGAUGCAGAGGAAGGUAAAGGAGACUAUGGAGAAAGCUUUCUGGGAUAGUGUGAUGGAAUCAAUGAAACUGGAGGAGCCUGGGAUGAGCUUUGCCAGAUGGUGCCUGAUAGCUGGAAAGUGGAAAUAACUGAAACUAUUGAUCUUGACCUUCUCUCACAGUUGCUUAACUCUGGCACCUUGGAUAUUGAUUACCUUGGAAAGAUGCUUGAGUUUGCAUUAGCUACUCUGCGGAAACUCUCGGCUCCAGCUAAUGACCGUGAGAAUGAAAGCACCCACCAGAGUUUACUGGAGGAACUUCACAGGUUGUGUCAAGCUAAAGAUGAGUCUGGUAGCCUCCAUGCUGUUGCAAUUGUCAAGGGGAACCGCUUCAUUCUUGAGCAGAUUCACGUCUGUAUCCGUAAUACUUAUGUGAAUUAUUUUAGAUAAAUAGUUUUUAAUACUAAACAAGUCAUGCUCUUAACUAAAAUAAACUAACUUAAUAUUUAUAUUUAUAAUUUAUUUGAUGAACAUCAAAUUUAUUUGA